GGAAUAAAAUUUGAAAAUUUCUAAUUCUUCCCACAUUGAUUAUCUCGGUGAAAAGAAAGAGAAUAGAAAGGCCAAAAGCAAGCGUUGGAAAAGUCCAUAAUUUGAAUUCAAAAAUCGAAAUCAAGCGCACCCUUUUGUCUGUUAGUGGAAUGUCUCAAUUGUAAGCCAAUAUCCAGUUGGUUUUGGUGGUCUACACUUGUUAGCCCUGCCUACAUACCAUUACAAACUCCAACGAAAUUACGCUUUUCGACCACCUCCCGCCCUACCUGCCAUUGCCAAGUAGCAGAAUAGCAUAUUCUUGGACACACAAUUUAUCAAAGUAGCGUUUGAAUUUAGCAGGGAGGCUUAAGGUCUUCCUCCCAGUCCCAGUAUGGUAUGCACACAAAGAACAUUGCAGAGAAGAAAUGAACCGUGAAAUAAAAUGACUUCAAUUAUAUUCCAAACAUCAAAUUGACAAAAAGACAGAGAGAGACACCCCCAUGCUAUUCAUAUUUCUUGCUUCUCUUUUUUCUUUUCUUUC
rnacentral:misc_RNA from 1 species